rnacentral:rRNA from 1 species
CCUACGGGGGGCACCAGUGGGGAAUAUUGGACAAUGGGGGGAACCCUGAUCCAGCCAUGCCGCGUGUGUGAAGAAGGUCUUAGGAUUGUAAAGCACUUUAAGUUGGGAGGAAGGGCAGUUAACUAAUAUUUGACUGUUUUGACGUUACCGACAGAAUAAGCACCGGCUAACUUCGUGCCAGCAGCCGCGGUAAUACGAAGGGUGCAAGCGUUAAUCGGAAUUACUGGGCGUAAAGCGCGCGUAGGUGGUUCGUUAAGUUAGGAGUGAAAGCCCCGGGCUCAACCUGGGAAUUGCUUCUAAAACUGGCGAGCUAGAGUAUAGUAGAGGGUGGUGGAAUUUCCUGUGUAGCGGUGAAAUGCGUAGAUAUAGGAAGGAACAUCAGUGGCGAAGGCGACCACCUGGACUAAUACUGACACUGAGGUGCGAAAGCGUGGGGAGCAAACAGGAUUAGAUACCCCAGUAGUC